AGCUGAGUAGGCUAUGCAAAAUCUUCAAAUGAACUAGGGAAAAGAGCUCGGCAUUGAUUGCGUUGAGUGCACAGUGUGAAAUCGCAGGUCUCCUGUAUAUGACAUUGGACAUGGCCCCUUCAGUCAUUUAUUUGAGUCCCUGAACAUCGAUGUUUCUAGUACAAUGAUU